GCAGCGCACAGGAUUUCUGAAAAGACCCAACGAACUACAAACAUGUUUCUUCUACGGUGUUUUUCCUGGAAAAAGAAAACAACAGACAAAACUGUUGUGGCAGAUGAGAAGAAGCUUAACAACUCUCAGAAAUGCCAAAACAAGUCAGACACCCAACAUCCAAA